UGUUUUCCGCCAAUCGGACCAAUCAGAGGUUGGAGGGGCGGGGUGUGACGUCAUGUAGCGCGUAACCUUGAAUUAGUCAAAACAGUUGACAGCAGCAGCCGGCUGUUGGAAACCUACUGGACCUUCUGAGGAAUUAUGCCUAGUUUGGUGGUGGAUGCAGAUAUUGUGACGACGGUAAAUAACUCCGUUUACACAUCUUCAUGAACAAUGAUAGAAUUAUAUGCUAAUCGCGUUUAGCGUGUUAGCAUACAGCAACGUUAGCUGUAAUAGCAGUUGGCUAAUUUCUUUUGCGGUUAUAAACUACAAUGAGCCCGUAAAUAGCUCGUUGGAAGCUGACAUAGAUGAAAAGUGACUGAAUAACUGCUAUGUGUUCUCAUCAGAGGAGAUUGGGACCAGAACACUCCGUGGACCCGCACAGUGUGGACGCACCUGCCGCUGCUGGUGAUUCCACUCAUCUAAGCAUCAUCUUUCUUCAGUCUUCGUCCAGUUCGUCGUCUCAAGUAGUCUCGGGACAUUUGGAGGUGGAGAAGCAGCGUUUGGCAGAGUGAGCAGCCAAGUCUUCAUCUGUUUGUGUGGGAGUAGAGGAGCAUCACGUGUCUUAGGUGGGGGAAUAACUCAUGCUUCAGCUUUGGAGGGAGGUUUUACCCAGAUGCUUCAAGCACUUUGUCUUUGCUAAGGUACAAAGAUUUAUAAACAGCAGAUUGAAUUUGUCUGAAAAUAAAAUGUAUUUUCAUUUUAGGUAAUGAUGCA
rnacentral:lncRNA from 1 species